AGACCCAUGGUGUAACGGUAGCACACCGGUUUUUGGUGCCGUUUGUCGGGGUUCGAAUCCCUGUGGGUCUACAA
rnacentral:tRNA from 3 species